rnacentral:rRNA from 1 species
CACGGGGGGAGCAAGCGUUGUUCGGAAUCACUGGGCGUAAAGGGCGUGAUAGGCGGUUCGGUAAGUGGAAUGUGAAAUCCCUCGGCUCACCCGAGGACCUGCAUCCCAAACUGCCGUAGACUUGAGUAUGGGAGAGGAUAGAGGGAAUUCCUGGUGUAGCGGUGAAAUGCGUAGAUAUCAGGAGGAACACCGGUGGCGAAGGCGCUCAUCUGGCCCAAUACUGACGCUGAUGCGCGAAAGCUAGGGGAGCAAACGGGG